rnacentral:rRNA from 1 species
CCUACGUGCGGCAGCAGUGAGGAAUAUUGGUCAAUGGGCGUAAGCCUGAACCAGCCAAGUCGCGUGAGGGAUGAAGGUCCUAUGGGUCGUAAACCUCUUUUAUAAGGGAAUAAAGUGUUGCACGUGUGCUGUUUUGUAUGUACCUUAUGAAUAAGGAUCGGCUAACUCCGUGCCAGCAGCCGCGGUAAUACGGAGGAUCCGAGCGUUAUCCGGAUUUAUUGGGUUUAACGGGUGCGUAGGCGGCUUUUUAAGUCAGUGGUGAAAGUUUGUGGCUCAACCGUAAAAUUGCCGUUGAAACUGGGAGGCUUGAGUAUGUUAGAGGCAGGCGGAAUGCGUGGUGUAGCGGUGAAAUGCUUAGAUAUCACGCAGAACCCCGAUUGCGAAGGCAGCCUGCCAAGC